UACGUAGGGUCCGAGCGUUUGUCCGGAAUUAUUGGGCGUAAAGGGCUCGUAGGCGGUUUGUCGCGUCGGGAGUGAAAACUCAGGGCUCAACCCUGAGCGUGCUUCCGAUACGGGCAGACUAGAGGUAUUCAGGGGAGAACGGAAUUCCUGGUGUAGCGGUGGAAUGCGCAGAUAUCAGGAGGAACACCGGUGGCGAAGGCGGUUCUCUGGGCCUGUACUGACGCUGAGGAGCGAAAGCGUGGGGAGCGAACAGG
rnacentral:rRNA from 1 species